CCCUUAGAUGUCCGGGGCUGCACGCGCGCUACACUGAAGGAAUCAGCGUGCUAAAACCAUUGUCGAAAGGCAUUGGUAAACCCAUUAAAAUCCUACGUGAUUGGGAUCGGGAAUUGCAAUUAUUUCCCUUGAACGAGGAAUUCCCAGUAAGUGUGGGUCAUAAGCUCGCGUCGAUUACGUCCCUGCCCUUUGUACACACCGCCCGUCGCUGCCCGGGACUGAGCCGUUUCGAGAAAAGCGGGGACUGCUGCUGUCGGGGCUUUCGGGCCUUGGCUUCGGUGGAAACCGCUUUAAUCGCAGUGGCUUGAACCGGGCAAAAGUCGUAACA
rnacentral:rRNA from 1 species